CGGGGGCCCGAGGGGCGAAGGCGCGAGUGCGCGAGAGCGCGUGCGCGAGCGGUGGGGCUUUCUCCUGAGCCGUCGGAGGGAGCCGGAGCGCUUCUCCCGAGUUGGUGAUAGAUUGGUGGUCAUCCAACAUGCAGAAAUGAAUGAGCAGUGAAAAGCAGCAGAGCCGAUGGGUCAUGAGGAUGUAAGUGCGUUUGAAGGCUUCCACACCCUCUACUCCAGGACAGAAUCAUGAAUAAACUGGAGGAUAAGCAGGACCAGAUGAUACCAUGAAGAGAAGUUUACAGGCCCUCUAUUGCCAACUGUUAACUGUCCUGCUGACGGUGUGCUGCAUGAAGAGGAAGAAGAAGACCGCCAACCCGGAGAACAACCUGAGCUACUGGAACAACACCAUCACCAUGGACUACUUCAACAGGCAUGCUGUGGAGCUGCCCAGGGAGAUCCAGUCCCUUGAAACCUCUGAGGACCAGCUCUCAGAGCCCCGCUCCCCAGCCAAUGGCGACUAUAGAGACACUGGGAUGGUCCUUGUUAACCCCUUCUGUCAAGAAACACUGUUUGUGGGAA
rnacentral:lncRNA from 1 species